CUCGGUGAUUCAUCAUUCGGUCGAUCCAAUCUCAGGAUGAUUUUUGAUUUCGAGGCGCCACCGCCAUCUGCAUCUGCAUCUGCAUCUACAUCGUCUACUAACCAUCUGCACGAUUUCGAUUUCAAUCCAAUCUCAGCUCUCCAAUGAUCCAUUCGUUGAUCGGCAGUGACAGAAAAAAUCAACUCCUGUGAGAAAAGAAACCCUAACUUUCUCAUUGGAGGCGGUGCAUACUUUUUUCAAGGAGCAUGUGAAAUUCCUUGUUACAGACACAAUAGAUGGGCUAGACACCCCAUCAAAAUGCAUUCGUGUGUGGUUCAAUGCAGGAGGGAAUAAUGGAACAGGCAGAAACUCAGGAGGGAAUAAUGGCAAAAGCAGAAACUUAAAGAAAUGGAAAGAUAGGAGCAGUAAGCGUUACGACAAUAGAGGUUCAGACAAUUGGCCUUACCCUCUCGAUAAGUUUCUUAGUCUAUGCAUUACAUAAAUGUAUCAUCAACAGUGAGAAUCAUUUGACCCAAAAAGGAGAAGCCUGGUUAAGAAGAAAAUGGUGGUAGCAAAUUAUAUUGAGGAUUGAUUCACGUUUGGACUGGAUUAAAAGUCUGAAACAAGUUUACUUAUUACCUUCGGAGCGACUUGAGCAUGUAAUAGAGAAGCAGUUGUUAAACCUCUCAACAAUUUUUGUCAAUGGUUCCAUCUUUAUGAGGAGAAUAAGGAUACCCAUGAGGCAUUAGGACUGAUUGGAAAGAUGCUAGGCAUUCAGAUUGAUAGGUCUGGGAGGAUACCUAUGUUGAGGUUCCGAGAUCGUGAAUCAUAUGCUGGGAACAAGACAAAGGAGAACGACUUCUUCAAGCUCGAUACAAAAGGAACAUGGCUGAGUCCUCUUCUACUUCUUUUUGGGUUUCUUUUUUUUUUUGGGGUAUACACUUAGGAUUGUUUUUCAGAACUUGCUCCUAGAAUCAAAUGCCGAAAUAUUGCAAUGUUCAGAGAGGGUUUGGAGGCUCCUUCUUCAGGUUUUAAAUUCAUUGGAGUGAGCACUUUCAUUAAAACUCAGUUUGUUCAUCUUUCACUCUCUUAUUGUUCUUAAUGCUUGAAAUGGUUGGUUUA